rnacentral:rRNA from 1 species
CCUGAUCCUAGACCAUGCCGCGUGAGUGAUGAAGGCCUUAGGGUCGUAAAGCUCUUUCGCCUGUGAUGAUAAUGACAGUAGCAGGUAAAGAAAGCCCCGGCUAACUCCGUGCCAGCAGCCGACGGUAAUACGAGAUGGGGCCUUACAAA